rnacentral:rRNA from 1 species
UAGGGAAUCUUCGGCAAUGGACGGAAGUCUGACCGAGCAACGCCGCUGAGUGAAGAAGGUUUUCGGAUCGUAAAGCUCUGUUGUAAGAGAAGAACGAGUGUGAGAGUGGAAAGUUCACACUGUGACGGUAUCUUACCAGAAAGGGACGGCUAACUACGUGCCAGCAGCCGCGGUAAUACGUAGGUCCCGAGCGUUGUCCGGAUUUAUUGGGCGUAAAGCGAGCGCAGGCGGUUAGAUAAGUCUGAAGUUAAAGGCUGUGGCUUAACCAUAGUAGGCUUUGGAAACUGUUUAACUUGAGUGCAAGAGGGGAGAGUGGAAUUCCAUGUGUAGCGGUGAAAUGCGUAGAUAUAUGGAGGAACACCGGUGGCGAAAGCGGCUCUCUGGCUUGUAACUGACGCUGAGGCUCGAAAGCGUGGGGAGCAAACAGGAUUAGAUACCCUGGUAGUCCACGCUGUAAACGAUGAGUGCUAGGUGUUAGACCCUUUCCGGGGUUUAGUGCCGUAGCUAACGCAUUAAGCACUCCGCCUGGGGAGUACGACCGCAAGGUUG